GUGAAAAAAUUAGAGUGUUCAAAGCAGGCAGAUCCAAUUUUCUGCCACCGAAUACAUUAGCAUGGGAUAAUGGAAUAGGACCCUGUCCUCCUAUUUUCAGUUGGUUUUGGCAGCGCGAGGACUAGGGUAAUGAUUAAUAGGGAUAGUUGGGGGCAUUAAUAUUUAAUUGUCAGAGGUGAAAUUCUUGGAUUUAUGAAAGAUUAACUUCUGCGAAAGCAUCUGCCAAGGAUGUUUUCAUUAAUCAAGAACGAAAGUUAGGGGAUCGAAGACGAUCAGAUACCGUCGUAGUCUUAACCAUAAACGAUGCCGACCAGCGAUUAGGAGACGUUGAAUACAAAACACCACCAUCGGUUGCGGUCGUCCUUGGCGUCUCGGUUUCGGCCGGGGCGCGGGGANGGNUUAGCCCGGUGGCACCGGUGAAUGACUCCCCUAGCAGCUUGUGAGA
rnacentral:rRNA from 1 species